rnacentral:lncRNA from 1 species
CUGUGUUUUGGGGAUGAGUACCGACUGGCCCAUUUAGUUGUAGCUUUCUCCUAAUAUUGUCCCCUGAUUUUCAUCCUAUCCAAUCUUAAUGUUUAAAUUUCCUUGACAUUCCUUCUUUUAGAUCCCUUUGGAGUCUGCAGAGGAUACUGCAUCACCUUGUAGGAGCUGGUACUAGUAAUCUCAUCUUGGUGUCCAGGCCCUUGUUCUUCCACCUCUAACUCCAAUGCAACCUCCUGUGAUGCUGGUGGAUCCAAAAGGAUAGUUCAUGACACCAGGACCUCAUCCUCUUGCUCCUCCAGAAGGCUUGUGUGGACCACCAUGAGGAUGUUUUCAGCCAAGCCAUUUUGGUGGCCUGCAACAUUUUUCUAUCAAAGUAAGAAGCAUCUAUCCAACAAAGAAUUGUCAUUUUCCUCUCCAUAGAUUUCCUCCCAUUGCUGAGCUUCCAGAAGAG